rnacentral:lncRNA from 1 species
CUGAAAUGCCCUGUAAUUAAAGGCCACUGUAAUUAAAGUCGUUGUGAUGGCAUGACUAUGCUGUAUAACUGUGAACAAGGAAAUCACUUGUCUGAGGCAAUAUCCUCAGACUACUCCAGGAGGAAAAAAAAAAAAAAAAGAAAAAACUCCUUAAACUCAUGAAGCUCACUCUGACACAGAAAGUGACAAAUCUAUCCUUUCACUUUGAAUUCUGAAAACCAGAAACCUUCUCCCACAUUAACUGCGGCAUAGUGAGAAGAGUUUGCAAAAUCAAGCACCCAGAUGUUUCUUGGCUGCUGAAGUAUGCAGUCUUGCAGCUCUUUUGGAGUUUGCCCUCUUUGCAAUACAGAGCUAAGCAACUGAAUUUGAGAGGUGUUGGUGAGGAGAUAAAAGGCAUUCUGCUCCAUUCCUGUGGAGAAGACCAGCUGCUUUCAUCAGGUGUCUUCCAUUUUGGCUCUAAUGGGGAGGAAAAAAAGUGCCAAAACACAGGCAAUCCCGAAACCCCAAACUGGUGUACAUGUCCGGGUAAACAGAGGGAGAAUGAAGAACACACACAGUCACUGUCGGCCUGUAAGAGGAGAGAAUAUCUCUUCUAUUCUUGAGUUUGUCCUUUUUGUCUUUCCAUGAAUUUUCAUUACUAUCAAUGCCAUUAAGUUUCCCACUGGCAACUGACUAGUUUUUUCAAGGAG